UCCACAUGCGGAGAGGAGCAGGCUGCGGCCCUGGCCCCCGGAAAGAGUCGGACUAGGGUACUGCCCCUAAAAGCCAACUGACUGGCGGUAGAGUGCACAGGUUUCAGGGUUCCACUCCUCUGACCGCUGCCCGGCCUUUCACAUGAGGAACGUGGAGAGGCUGGGAAUUCAACUGACACUGGGAUCCUGUGACCCUCACAAUUGAAUGUUGCGUUGGAUUUUCAGCACUGUCAGCCCUGCAGUACAGGAAGCAAGAGAGGUUUUAGGGCUGUCAUGGAAGUUCUCUGGUUGUCAUACUGUGACUUGAGCUGAGAGGAAGAUUAGCCCUGAGCUAACUACUGCCGAUCCUCCUCUUUUU